AAUUCUCUAAGAUAAAGGGCAUAUAUACCAAGGUGUAAGAAGUAUACAGGGUGGCAAUGAAAAAUGAGGGUAUGCCUAUGCUCAGUGUUUCAAUAAUGUGAACAUUUCAAUGAUUAAUAGCCUAACAUU